GUGCUGUGAUGUAAAUCAAUGAUUCGGGCAGAGGGUUUACGGAGCUUUAACAGUGGGUUCGCGAAAUUCCGCAACUCGAAUAGGUGUAAAAACCGAAAGAAAAUCGCAAAA
ncrna:unclassified sequences drum RNA